UACGAGUGCCCUAAGCGUUAUCCGGAAUCAUUGGGCGUAAAGGGUGUGUAGGUGGUUGUGUUAGUCUUGUGUUAAAUUCUUCGGCUCAACCGGGGGCAUGCAUGGGAAACGGCACAACUAGAGGAUGCGAGAGGCACAUGGAACUCAUGGAGUAGGGGUGAAAUCCGUUGAUAUCAUGGGGAACACCGAAAGCGAAGGCAAUGUGCUGGCGCACUCCUGACACUGAAACACGAAAGCGUAGGUAGCGAAUGGG
rnacentral:rRNA from 1 species